GAUGGUUCUCUGGCCCCUCCUGCUGGUUCUCUGAACUCCCCUCCUGGUUGUCUGCCCAUGCCUGUUGCCUCCUUGGCCUUUCCUGGUGGCCAUCAGCAGAUCCAGUGGGCUCUUGGCUUACUUGUUGGCCUGUGGCCCACCAGGGCAACUCCUGACCGUGGUUGUAAUCGUGGCUGUGUUGGGUGGUUAGACACCGGGUGUUGAUUUGAGCAUCAGCCUCCAGAUUCAUCUGAUCCAGGAGGGGGUAAGAAGACAGUCCCAGUAGGAGACGGAGAUCGUCCAGAAGAAGAAGAGCUGUCCAUCUCCUCAGAGACUGCAGGAAAGGUCUACAAGUUUUAUUUCUGGAAAAUAAAGAGAUGCUUUCGUUCAGCAACAA